UACAGCGGGGGCAAGCGUUGUUCGGAAUUACUGGGCGUAAAGGGCGCGUAGGCGGCCUUCUAAGUCGAACGUGAAAUCCCCGGGCUCAACCCGGGAACUGCGUCCGAGACUGAAAGGCUUGAAUCCGGGAGAGGGAUGUGGAAUUCCAGGUGUAGCGGUGAAAUGCGUAGAUAUCUGGAGGAACACCGGUGGCGAAGGCGGCAUCCUGGACCGAGAUUGACGCUGAGGCGCGAAAGCCAGGGGAGCAAACGGG
rnacentral:rRNA from 1 species